rnacentral:rRNA from 1 species
UACGGGGGGGGCAAGCGUUGUUCGGAAUUACUGGGCGUAAAGGGCGCGUAGGCGGUUGGAUAAGUCAGCUGUGAAAACCACGGGCUUAACUCGUGGCCUGCAGUUGAGACUGUCUGGCUUGAGUGUGGGAGAGGAGAGUGGAAUUCCUGGUGUAGCGGUGAAAUGCGUAGAUAUCGAGAGGAACACCUGCGGCGAAGGCGGGUUGCUGGGCUGACACUGACGCUGAGGCGCGAAAGCUAGGGGAGCGAACGGG